AUGAACGCUGGCGGCGUGCCUAAUACAUGCAAGUCGAGCGAACAGAUGAGGAGCUUGCUCCUCUGACGUUAGCGGCGGACGGGUGAGUAACACGUGGAUAACCUACCUAUAAGACUGGGAUAACUUCGGGAAACCGGAGCUAAUACCGGAUAAUAUAUUGAACCGCAUGGUUCAAUAGUGAAAGACGGUUUUGCUGUCACUUAUAGAUGGAUCCGCGCCGCAUUAGCUAGUUGGUAAGGUAACGGCUUACCAAGGCAACGAUGCGUAGCCGACCUGAGAGGGUGAUCGGCCAUACUGGAACUGAGACACGGUCCAGACUCCUACGGGAGGCAGCAGUAGGGAAUCUUCCGCAAUGGGCGAAAGCCUGACGGAGCAACGCCGCGUGAGUGAUGAAGGUCUUCGGAUCGUAGAACUCUGUUAUUAGGGAAGAACAAAUGUGUAAGUAACUAUGCACGUCUUGACGGUACCUAAUCAGAAAGCCACGGCUAACUACGUG
rnacentral:rRNA from 1 species